AGCAACUCAAAGAUACGGCUAAGAGUCCAUGCUGUGGUAUCUCUAAUGUGUUCAUUAUUAUCCUUCAUCGCGUCAAGUAGAUGUUUUAAUCCAGCAUGGACCAUGGGAGAUAGCUUCUCGAUGCUUGGACCUUCAAGUAUUGAGCCAAAUGCAUAUAUGGCAGCCUCACGUGAGCGCCAAUCAGGUUUCAUUAUGUUAGCCUCCACAAAAGGCAU
rnacentral:misc_RNA from 1 species